rnacentral:rRNA from 1 species
UACAUGGGGUGCAAACGUUGCUCGGAAUUAUUGGGCGUAAAGCGCACGUAGGCGGUUUGUUAAGUCGGAUGUGAAAUCCCUCGGCUCAACUGAGGAAGUGCAUCCGAAACUGGCAAGCUUGAGUACGAAAGAGGGUCGCGGAAUUCCCGGUGUAGAGGUGAAAUUCGUAGAUAUCGGGAGGAACACCAGUGGCGAAGGCGGCUCACUGGCCCAUUACUGACGCUGAGGCACGAAAGCGUGGGGAGCAAACAGGG